ACAGGUGGUGCAUGGUUGUCGUCAGCUCGUGUCGUGAGAUGUUGGGUUAAGUCCCGCAACGAGCGCAACCCUUGUCUUCAGUUACCAUCAUUCAGUUGGGGGACUCUGGAGAGACUGCCGGUGACAAACCGGAGGAAGGUGGGGAUGACGUCAAAUCAUCAUGCCCCUUAUGACCUGGGCUACACACGUACUACAAUGGCGUAUACAACGGGAAGCGAAAUGGUGACAUGGAGCAAAUCUCACAAAGUACGUCUCAGUUCGGAUUGAAGUCUGCAACUCGACUUCAUGAAGUCGGAAUCGCUAGUAAUCGCGGAUCAGCAUGCCGCGGUGAAUACGUUCUCGGGGUUU
rnacentral:rRNA from 1 species